GCCAGGCAUGGUGGCGCACGCCUGUAAUCCCAGCAGUUCAAGAGGCUGAGGCAGGAGGAUCAGGAGUUCAAAGUCAGCUUCAGCAACUUAGCGAGGCCCUAAGCAACUCAGCAAGACCCUGUCUCUA
rnacentral:sRNA from 1 species